CCUACGGGUGGCUGCAGUGGGGAAUAUUGGACAAUGGGGGCAACCCUGAUCCAGCCAUGCCGCGUGUGUGAAGAAGGCCCUCGGGUUGUAAAGCACUUUCAGUGAGGAAGAACGCCUGGUGGUUAAUACCCAUCAGGAAAGACAUCACUCACAGAAGAAGCACCGGCUAACUCCGUGCCAGCAGCCGCGGUAAUACGGAGGGUGCGAGCGUUAAUCGGAAUUACUGGGCGUAAAGCGCGCGUAGGUGGCUUGAUAAGCCGGUUGUGAAAGCCCCGGGCUCAACCUGGGAACGGCAUCCGGAACUGUCAAGCUAGAGUGCAGGAGAGGAAGGUAGAAUUCCCGGUGUAGCGGUGAAAUGCGUAGAGAUCGGGAGGAAUACCAGUGGCGAAGGCGGCCUUCUGGACUGUCACUGACACUGAGGUGCGAAAGCGUGGGUAGCAAACAGGAUUAGAUACCCCUGUAGUC
rnacentral:rRNA from 1 species